UUUCCCCAUCUUUGAAGAGGGUGCUGGGAGGUGUUUGCAAGGGUUUGGGUUUUUUUUUUAAAGUCUUUUUUUUUUUCCUCCCCUUUUGCUAAAUAAAUUAAAAGCAGAGAGAUUUCCUGAUGGAGAUGGAUGAGGCUGGGCUCGCAGCAAUGGGGUUGCUCGCUCGCACGCACUGCUGCAGCCUUGAUCUGGCGUAGCGAGGGUACCGAUGGCAGAAGUGACCUUUCCCAGGCAGUGGGAGGGAGGCUUUUCCCCCCGCCCUGACAUGCUCCCGCUUGGAAUUCAUUUUAAAUAGCAGGGCUAUUAUUUUUUAUUUUCUUUCCCCCUUCCCCUUAAAGAACAGCUUGCUCUUUCAGUGAUUUUUUUUUUUUUCUUGGCAGCCUGUGGGUUGAAGCUUCCUCAUGAUCUUUUUUUUUUUGUGUGUGUGUGUGUGUUUUGAAUUGUGGUUUAAAAUUGCCCAGCUGGAGACAAGUCUUGAUUAGAGCUGGAACAAUAGCUCCAUUUUAUUAAUAAUGGGAAGGAUUUACAAUCCUACAGCACCUUCCUUGGAAGGCUUUCAAAAUAAUUUGCAAACACUCACAAAUUUAAGAUUUCACAUCCCUUGUCUGUGAGGUGGGGAAAUACAGGAUUGUUUGUGUAACCCCUCUCCAUAGCAGAUACCUUCUUUGGAUAUGUUGGUUUGGAGAUAUGCCUCGUGCUCAUCAGAGGCCUUUGCUGGCAUAGACAUACGGUGGACGAAGAAGCUGGCUGUUUGGGACGUUUCCAUGUUUUUCAGCCUGGAAGACUGAAGUCCUCUCUGUCUAGCUGGUGAAAUGCCCCGUGUUUGGGAAGAACCCUUGUGAGGAUCCAGAACCAGGCUUCGUGUUCAAAACGUUAUCAACGUGUGAGCCAAUAUCCUCUGUCUUGGCAACAGAUGAGCCCAAAUAUCAAACAGCACCAAUUCCUUCUUGGAGAAAAUUAUCCGUUGCAUAAAACAUAAUGGUCCCAGCGACACGUGGCAGCGAGCUCCACCACUUGGAGUCGAUGGCUUUGUUUGCGAUCCGUGGGUGGCCCUCCCGGCCAGCCUGCCUGCAAGAUGGCCGCGUGACAGCAAUGACCCCGCGUGAGGUUUCUUUGAAGGACCCGGGAGCCGGCGUGGUUUUCUCAUGUCCCUCGGAGGUGCCACCCUAGCAGGGAGGGAGGGGAAGAACGGCUGGAAGUGCUGUCGCAGCGAGCACGCUCGAUCGGAGAGGGGAGAGUUCGGCAUCGAAAAGCCGUUCGAUACGUUGGGUUUCUUCCUCUCCAAAAUGGAUGCCUGUAGAGCCCGUUAAAGGUAUAGACACGUAGCGACUGCUCUUUGGGCUUCUGACCAGUUAAACCAGAAAGCUAAGCCCAUUUCCACGGAGAGGAAAGUGCUGGUGGAGCGCAUUGGCGGUGCGUUUUCUCGUGCGCAAGUGGCUCCAUCACGUGUUUUAAAUAAUAAGACGUUUUGCGUGC